rnacentral:rRNA from 1 species
GAUGAACGCUGGCGGCGUGCCUAAUACAUGCAAGUCGAGCGAACAGACGAGGAGCUUGCUCCUCUGACGUUAGCGGCGGACGGGUGAGUAACACGUGGAUAACCUACCUAUAAGACUGGUAUAACUUCGGGAAACCGGAGCUAAUACCGGAUAAUAUAUUGAACCGCAUGGUUCAAUAGUGAAAGACGGUUUUGCUGUCACUUAUAGAUGGAUCCGCGCCGCAUUAGCUAGUUGUUAAGUUAACGGCUUACCAAGGCGACGAUGCGUAGCCGACCGGAGAGGGUGAUCGGCCACACUGGAACUGAGACACGGUCCAGACUCCUACGGGAGGCAGCAGUAGGGAAUCUUCCGCAAUGGGCGAAAGCCUGACGGAGCAACGCCGCGUGAGUGAUGAAGGUCUUCGGAUCGUAAAACUCUGUUAUUAGGGAAGAACAAAUGUGUAAGUAACUAUGCACGUCUUGACGGUACCUAAUCAGAAAGCCACGGCUAACUACGUG